rnacentral:tRNA from 2 species
UGACUUAGCUCAAUGGUAGAGCAAUCGGCUGUUAACCGAUCGGUUGUAGGUUCGAGUCCUAUAGUCA